CCCUUGCUCCUCUUUAAGAGGCUUCUGCUGGGGCAUUCAGAGAAACUGCCUGUCAUCCUCAAGAACAAUGGCACCGUCCCUGCCCAGCUGCAUGUGGACCUGCAAGAUCAACUAGGAAUCUUCUCCCUGAAAAGGAGACCCAGCACCUCCUUCAUCUACAUCAUAGAGGAAAACAAACCAGAUGAAAGGGCAAAAAAACCCCACAUGGCUUCCCUGGUUGUUUCUCCUGGAGACAACGCUGAAUUUGAUGUCGUUUUCCACUCCCAGAAGGCUGGGCGGAUGACUGGCUUCAUCCACUUGUCAGUCAUCAACAACCAGUACGAGGAGACCCUCAUCCACUUGGUGGGAGAAGGCUAUGAGGAUGACAUCACCUUGGACAACAUCCAUGGGCUGGUGCCUUCCACUGGCGAGGAGACCUCGCCCAUCUCAGAGGUCUUAGAGAUAGCCGAGAACAAUGCCGUGGAAGACAUGGUGGCAGCUGCAUUGAUGGACCACAUCCAGUUUGGGGACUGUCACAUUGGAAACAGCUAUACUGUGAAUUUCACGAUCACUAAUCACAGCCAAGUGAAUGUGGUACGGUUUGAAUGGCCUCUUUUAGCUACAAUAGCUUUCUCCCCACAGUUGGGCCACCUCCACCCUGGUUGUACCAAGGACAUAGUGGUGACCAUGAAAUCAGAUGUGCCAAUCCACCUGAAAAAGAUGGGGCUCAAGUGCAAGCUCUCCAGGAUCCUGUUCCAGCUCCCUGCAGAGCAGGUUCCCGACUGGGAUGACCGCAUGCACACUAUCAAGUGGGUGGAUGCAUCUAGAAACGCUCCUGGAACUUUGCCUACAAAGCGAAAGGUGAUAGAGACGGAUCCUGAACCUGCCCACUCAGUCCUAGAAGAAGACUACCGAGAACUGCAGAUUCAGAUCAGUGCCACUGUGGAUUACGCUUCAUACCAAUGCCAAAUGAACGAUGUAAACUUUAAGGAUACGCUGGUUUACCAGACCAGAGUGUUUGAGUGAGUCAUCAACAGCUUCAUAACACCGCG
rnacentral:lncRNA from 1 species